rnacentral:lncRNA from 1 species
UUUUAUAUAUGUGUGUGUGUGUGUGUGUGUGUGUGUGUGUGUGUGUGUGUGUGUGUGUGUGUGUGUGUGCGUAUUGAUCAGUGUUAUAUACUGUUGGAAAUACAGCUCUAAAAGGGAAAAAAAAUUUAGUUAUGCUAUAUCGCUUUGAUUUGGUCAAGUGUUGCAUAUUUGAUGUCAGAUGCCGUUACAAGGCUAAACUUGUAUUUUUUAAAAUGGAUUUUUAUAUAUGUAAAACAGUUAUCAUUAAUUGGAGACUGACAACAGAUACUAUUUUCAGAAUGCAGCAUGAAUGGUCUAAAGAAGAAAAAAAAGUUUAAAAAGUUGACAAGUCUAUGUAUUGCUAUCACUGAUGCUGCUUCAAAGUCAAAUAAAAGCUUAACCAAAAUAGAGCUUAUUGGGAGAUUAAUUAGGCAUUCUUCUGACCGAUUCGAGAGAAAAUCCACCAAUAUCCAUAUUGAUCAAUGAUGGCUUAAUUAACUUCAAUCAACUGUUGUGUUUUUUGUUUAUUUUGCAUUUUUCAGUAAUUUUCUUUUUACUUAUAAUAUACUAUCGAUUAUACUCUACAAAAAAUAUUAGUUUUUAAUUUGGAAAGUGUAACUUUG